CUCCAGUGGGCGUCUUGGGCCCCGGCUCUAUUCUGGGCUGCGGGCCUGGGAAGGGCUCGCCGGGUGCCAAAUGAGCUGUCCUAACUCUGCGGGGCUGCAGCUUCCUGCAUGAUGCUGGGGAGCUUGGCGCCUGACCCAGGAUCUAGAAGGCACUCUGGGCAGGCCGCGCUCCGCCCACGAAGGUACCCAACCCUCUGGGAUAGAUGCAGGAAGCGAUGGUUAAGACCCAUUUUCACCCAACUUCUCGCCGCAGGUUUAACCACCAAGGACUCUGAGAGCUGGCAGGUCUGAGUAACCCUGGUAACAAUUCUCUUCACCUUAUCAAAACCUGAGCUAAAACCAAUACAUCAGCUGAUGAUGACAGCAGAGAGUGGCAGGGCUGAGGACCCAAAGUCAUUUCCCAGGCUGGCGGAGAGUGAGUAAAUGAGAUUCUAAAACUAAACAAGGGAGGUCAGAGACUCUUUCCAA
rnacentral:lncRNA from 1 species